rnacentral:rRNA from 1 species
CGCGUAGGUGGUUUGUUAAGCGAGAUGUGAAAGCCCCGGGCUUAACCUGGGAACGGCAUUUCGAACUGGCAGGCUAGAGUGUGGUAGAGGGUAGUGGAAUUUCCUGUGUAGCGGUGAAAUGCGCAGAUAUAGGAAGGAACACCAGUGGCGAAGGCGGCUACCUGGACCAACACUGACACUGAGGUGCGAAAGCGUGGGGAGCAAACA